rnacentral:rRNA from 1 species
GAUGAACGCUAGCGGCAGGCCUAACACAUGCAAGUCGAGGGGUAUAAUUUAGCUUGCUAAAUUAGAGACCGGCGCACGGGUGCGUAACGCGUAUGGAACCUACCUUUUACAUGGGAAUAGCCCGAAGAAAUUUGGAUUAAUACCCUAUGUGAUCAAUACUAGGCAUCUAUUAUUGAUUAAAGCUGAGGCGGUAAAAGAUGGCCAUGCGUCUUAUUAGCUAGUUGGUAUGGUAACGGCAUACCAAGGCAACGAUAAGUAGGGGUCCUGAGAGGGAGAUCCCCCACACUGGUACUGAGACACGGACCAGACUCCUACGGGAGGCAGCAGUGAGGAAUAUUGGACAAUGGUCGGAAGACUGAUCCAGCCAUGCCGCGUGCAGGAAGACGGCCCUACGGGUUGUAAACUGCUUUUAUACAGGAAGAAUAAGGGGUACGUGUACCCUGAUGACGGUACUGUAAGAAUAAGCACCGGCUAACUCCG